rnacentral:lncRNA from 1 species
UAUAUAUAUAUAUAUAUAUAUAUAUAAGUAAAGGUUCACAACCUUUUGAGUCUACCUAUCAUCAAUAAGAAAUCACAUAGAAUGAAAGAAAGAAGGCCAAUACCAACCAACACUUACAUGUAUAUCGUAUUAACUGUUAACUCUCUUCUUGAUAGAAGUAUGCAAAUAAGAAUUUGGUGGAUCCAAUCCUUACAACCGAUGAUCGAAAUCUGCAGUCUUCGAGUCAUGGAGCCUUCGACCGGUCCGGUGCAGCGGAGUCGGCGAUGGAGUUGUGCCGCUUCGAAGGUCCUGAUGGCGGGAUGGGCGUGCCUCUGGGUAGGAAGUUGAAUGCAGGGAGCCGUUCAAUCUUGAAAGAGAGAUGGCCGUUGUAGGCUUGGAAUGGCAGCAGUGGGAUUCUGUGCAUGGAGCCAUGGCAGGAGAAGGGGAGAGUGGCAAGGAAAAUGAGGAAGACGAGAGGGAGGACUUUGGGAGCCAUUGGGGAGUGAGAAGAGGACUCUUAUUUCUCUCUCAGCACCGAGUUUCUCCUUUGGAGUGAGAGGUGGAUGGCUGUGCAUGCACUCUGCAGUCCAGUCCCUUGUUUCUCCUUUAUAAAUCCUCAGUAGUUAGUUCUAACUUCUAUGCCUUUGUCUAUCUUUCUUCCAGGUCAAAGAGGAAGUUUCAUUUCAUUUGAGACAGGAAGAGUCGAUCAAGGGAUAUUUUUCUCGACACGCAAAUGGUUUGCAGAAUUUGUCAAAAGGGGAAGCAUCAAGGAAGGUAGGGCGGCAG